GCGUCGUUAGUUUAACGGCAAAACGCCGGAUUCCUAAUCCGGUCAUUUCGGUUUGACUCCGAAACGACGCC
rnacentral:tRNA from 1 species